rnacentral:rRNA from 1 species
AGGAUAAACGCUGGCGGCGUGCCUAACACAUGCAAGUCGAACGCCCUUUUGUGCCGCAAGGUGGAAGAGGGAGUGGCGGACGGGUGAGGAACACAUGGGUACCUACCUUGGAGUGAGGGAUACCGGCGAGAAAUCGCCGACAAUACCGCAUACGCUUCUCUUCACCGGGAAGCAAAGUUGCGCAAGCGACGCUCUGAGAUGGGCCUGUGGCCGAUUAGCUAGUUGGUGGGGUAACGGCCUACCAAGGCGACGAUCGGUAGCUGGUCUGAGAGGACGACCAGCCACACUGGAACUGAGACACGGUCCAGACUCCUACGGGAGGCAGCAGUGGGGAAUAUUGGACAAUGGGGGCAACCCUGAUCCAGCCAUGCCGCGUGGUGAAGAAGGCCUUCGGGUUGUAAGCCCUUUGUACGGGAAGAAAGCUUCGGGUUAACAACGGGAGUCAUGACGGUACCGUAAGAAUAAGCACCGGCUAACUUCGUGCCAGCAGCCGC